rnacentral:piRNA from 1 species
UCAGCUUUAAGUGUCUUUGGAGUUCUUU